CUCAGCCAGAAGGAAGGGAGGACGGACCCCUGGGCUUGUGCCCAGACCUCUGAGGAAGAGGCACCUGCCUGUGAGGGCCGGGUCUCUGGAGCUGGCGUGUGGGGUGCGUAGCGUAUGGUGAAGCUUGAAGUACUAGAGACAUGGCAAGCUGGAUUCAGCUGCUGCUCCGGGAUGGGCCUGCUGCGGGGUGAGGGGGGAAGGUUGGGGUGCCUCUUGCAGGGAACACACGGACACAAACGGGAAGGCAGGCGGUCACCCUUCCUCCUCCAGCCUGCAGCCUUCCCUCUAGUGGCUCUGGUCACAAGGAUCCAACUGGGAACAGCUGGCCAAGCAGAGACGGGACUCACAGGGCCCGAGGCCACCUUCACAAAGCGGUGUCCAGAGGACGGGGCUGGGGCUGAGAAGCCAGAAAUUUCAAGUAUUCGUCACCGCAAGGUGGGGAAGUUCUGGUCUUCCAGCCCCGGCUUUACUGAAAAGAGCAGUGCCGAGCACACGGGAGAUCUAAUAUCGUCUGGCCUCUGCUGUGGUUGAUUCCUGAGAGUGCACAUGGGCAGGCCUUCCCGGACUUACUCUGGCUUGUCUUGAAAAGUUCCCGACGUUCCCAGGCUCUACAGCUGCAAGGAAUUUGUAUAACCGUAAUGAUGAAAACAACAGUAAUGAAGAAAUAUUUAGAAAAUGAAUGAAGAAAAGGAAGGAAGGAAGGAAGAAAGGAGGGAGCGAGGGAAGAAAGAAAGAAAGAAAUGAAGGGAGGAAAGAAGGAAAGAAGGAAGGAAGGGAAGAAACAAGAAAGAGAAAGGCAGCAAACUCCAGCAUUCAAGGAUAUGCGUUAAAAAAUUGCAAAGCUUUUUUUUUUUUUUUGCAGCGACAAAAGUACAGUACUGGUAAUCGUUGAAUGAUACACACAGGUCCAUAUACCGUAAUGUUCUGCAACUAUUAAAAAGAGUAAAUUACAAAAAGA